UGAAGGAAAAACGCACAGUCUUAGCAGG
rnacentral:piRNA from 1 species